ACCCGCUGGAACUUAAGCAUAUCAAUAAGCGGAGGAAAAGAAACCAACAGGGAUUCCCCUAGUAACGGCGAGUGAAGCGGGAACAGCUCAAAUUUGAAAUCUGGCCUUCGGGUCCGAAUUGUAAUUUGCAGAGGAUGCUUUUGGUUAGGUACUUUCCGAGUUCCCUGGAACGGGACGCCUUAGAGGGUGAGAGCCCCGUACGGUUGGAUACCGAGCCUCUGUAAAGCUCCUUCGACGAGUCGAGUAGUUUGGGAAUGCUGCUCUAAAUGGGAGGUAAAUUUCUUCUAAAGCUAAAUACCGGCCAGAGACCGAUAGCGCACAAGUAGAGUGAUCGAAAGAUGAAAAGCACUUUGAAAAGAGGGUUAAAUAGCACGUGAAAUUGUUGAAAGGGAAGCGUUUAUGACCAGACUUUUUCCAGGCGAAUCAUCCGGUGUUCUCGCCGGUGCACUUCGUCUGGUUGAGGCCAGCAUCGGUUUCUGUGGGGGGAUAAAAGCGGUGGGAAUGUGGCUCCUCCGGGAGUGUUAUAGCCCGCCGUAUAAUACCUCCAUAGGGACCGAGGUUCGCGCUCUGCAAGGAUGCUGGCGUAAUGGUCAUCAACGACCCGUCUUGAAACACGGACCAAGGAGUCGAACAUUUGUGCAAGUGUUUGGGUGUUAAACCCUCACGCGUAAUGAAAGUGAACGGAGGUGAGAGCCCUUACGGGUGCAUCAUCGACCGAUCCUGAUGUUUUCGGAUGGAUUUGAGUAAGAGCAUAACUGUUCGGACCCGAAAGAUGGUGAACUAUGCGUGGAUAGGGUGAAGCCAGAGGAAACUCUGGUGGAGGCUCGCAGCGGUUCUGACGUGCAAAUCGAUCGUCAAAUCUGCGCAUGGGGGCGAAAGACUAAUCGAACCAUCUAGUAGCUGGUUACCGCCGAAGUUUCCCUCAGGAUAGCAGUGUUGUCUUCAGUUUUAUGAGGUAAAGCGAAUGAUUAGGGACUCGGGGGCGCUUUUUAGCCUUCAUCCAUUCUCAAACUUUAAAUAUGUAAGAAGCCCUUGUUACUUAAUUGAACGUGGGCAUUCGAAUGUACCAACACUAGUGGGCCAUUUUUGGUAA
rnacentral:rRNA from 1 species